rfam:TPA: Bos taurus chromosome 13, whole genome shotgun sequence.
UCCCUGAUGGUCCAGUGGCUAAGACUCUCUGCUCCCAAUGCAGGAGGCCUGGGUUCAAUCCCUGGUCAGGCAA